AUUGAACGCUGGCGGCAUGCCUUACACAUGCAAGUCGAACGGCAGCACGGGAGCAAUCCUGGUGGCGAGUGGCGAACGGGUGAGUAAUAUAUCGGAACGUGCCCAGUCGUGGGGAUAACGUAGCGAAAGCUACGCUAAUACCGCAUACGAUCUAUGGAUGAAAGCGGGGGAUCGCAAGACCUCGCGCGAUUGGAGCGGCCGAUAUCAGAUUAGGUAGUUGGUGAGGUAAAGGCUCACCAAGCCGACGAUCUGUAGCUGGUCUGAGAGGACGACCAGCCACACUGGGACUGAGACACGGCCCAGACUCCUACGGAGGCAGCAGUGGGGAAUUUUGGACAAUGGGCGCAAGCCUGAUCCAGCAAUGCCGCGUGCAGGAUGAAGGCCUUC
rnacentral:rRNA from 1 species